rnacentral:rRNA from 1 species
AGCGAACGCUGGCGGCAGGCCUAACACAUGCAAGUCGAACGAACUCUUCGGAGUUAGUGGCGGACGGGUGAGUAACACGUGGGAACGUGCCUUUAGGUUCGGAAUAACUCAGGGAAACUUGUGCUAAUACCGAAUGUGCCCUUCGGGGGAAAGAUUUAUCGCCUUUAGAGCGGCCCGCGUCUGAUUAGCUAGUUGGUGAGGUAAAGGCUCACCAAGGCGACGAUCAGUAGCUGGUCGGAGAGGAUGAUCAGCCACAUUGGGACUGAGACACGGCCCAAACUCCUACGGGAGGCAGCAGUGGGGAAUCUUGCGCAAUGGGCGAAAGCCUGACGCAGCCAUGCCGCGUGAAUGAUGAAGGUCUUAGGAUUGUAAAAUUCUUUCACCGGGGACGAUAAUGACGGUACCCGGAGAAGAAGCCCCGGCUAACUUCGUG